rnacentral:rRNA from 1 species
UCCACGCCGUAAACGAUGAAUACUAGGUGUCGGGAGUCAAAUCUCGGUGCCGCAGCUAACGCAAUAAGUAUUCCGCCUGGGGAGUACGCACGCAAGUGUGAAACUCAAAGGAAUUGACGGGGACCCGCACAAGUAGCGGAGCAUGUGGUUUAAUUCGAAGCAACGCGAAGAACCUUACCAGGUCUUGACAUCCUCCUGAAUAAGCCUUAGCCGGCUUAGCUCUUCGGAGCAGGAGAGACAGGUGGUGCAUGGUUGUCGUCAGCUCGUGUCGUGAGAUGUUGGGUUAAGUCCCGCAACGAGCGCAACCCUUAUGUUUAGUUGUUAACAGGUCAAGCUGAACCCUCUAGACAGACUGCCGUGGAAAACACGGAGGAAGGUGGGGAUGACGUCAAAUCAUCAUGCCCCUUAUGAUCUGGGCUACA